rnacentral:rRNA from 1 species
UGGGGAAUUUUGGACAAUGGGCGCAAGCCUGAUCCAGCCAUGCCGCGUGAGUGAAGAAGGCCUUCGGGUUGUAAAGCUCUUUCGGCGGGGACGAAACGGUUCGUGACAACACCACGGACUAAUGACGGUACCCGCAUAAGAAGCACCGGCUAACUACGUGCCAGCAGCCGCGGUAAUACGUAGGGUGCAGGCGUUAAUCGGAAUUACUGGGCGUAAAGCGUGCGCAGGCGGUUUGUUAAGACAGGUGUGAAAUCCCCGGGCUUAACCUGGGAAUUGCGCUUGUAACUGGCAGGCUAGAGUGUGGCAGAGGGGGGUGGAAUUCCACGUGUAGCAGUGAAAUGCGUAGAUAUGUGGAGGAACACCGAUGGCGAAGGCAGCCCCCUGGGUUAACACUGACGCUCAUGCACGAAAGCGUGGGGAGCAAACAGGAUUAGAUACCCCUGUAGUCCCUGAGCGGGCUGGCAAGGCGCAU